rnacentral:rRNA from 1 species
UACGGAGGGUGCAAGCGUUGUCCGGAAUCACUGGGCGUAAAGGGCGCGUAGGCGGCUCAUGAAGGCUGUGGUGAAAGUCCGGGGCUCAACCUCGGAUCGGCCGUGGCGACUCGUGGGCUGGAGCACUGUAGAGGCGGGUGGAAUUCCGAGUGUAGAGGUGAAAUUCGUAGAUAUUCGGAAGAACACCAGUGGCGAAGGCGCUCACUGGCCCGUUACCGACGCUCAGGCGCGACAGCGUGGGGAGCAAACAGG